rnacentral:rRNA from 1 species
CAGCAGCCACGGUAAUACGUAGGUGGCAAGCGUUGUCCGGAAUUAUUGGGCGUAAAGGGCUCGCAGGCGGUUUCUUAAGUCUGAUGUGAAAGCCCCCGGCUCAACCGGGGAGGGUCAUUGGAAACUGGGAAACUUGAGUGCAGAAGAGGAGAGUGGAAUUCCACGUGUAGCGGUGAAACGCGUAGAGAUGUGGAGGAACACCAGUGGCGAAGGCGACUCUCUGGUCUGUAACUGACGCUGAGGAGCGAAAGCGUGGGGAGCGAACAGGAUUAGAUACCCGGGUAGUCCCUGUCUCUUAUAC